rnacentral:lncRNA from 1 species
GGCCGCUUGCGCAGGCGCAGUUCUGACGACUGCCGUUCAGCACCUGCGUAAGCACCUCUCGGCCAGGUCAGUCCUGUAUACAGCACUAAAGCUGAUGAAUGAUCUAUCUUACACUAGCCAAAGUGAAGUCUGAAAGAUGUGAAGAAAUGCAGUACAUUUGUACAUUGGCACAUUGCCCUGCAGAGGACUGGCAACACUCCAGAAAUGAUGGAGACAGGAUACAUCAACCUGUAUCACUGAAGAUGAUGUGGAGCAGAGCCUUUGUGGUCCUAAGAAACAUGUAUAAGAUAAAAACUUUUGUGGUUUUUCAA